GAUGAACGCUGGCGACGUGCCUAAUACAUGCAAGUCGAGCGAACGGACGAGAAGCUUGCUUCUCUGAUGUUAGCGGCGGACGGGUGAGUAACACGUGGAUAACCUACCUAUAAGACUGGGAUAACUUCGGGAAACCGUAGCUAAUACCGGAUAAUAUUUUGAACCGCAUGGUUCAAAAGUGAAAGACGGUCUUGCUGUCACUUAUAGAUGGAUCCGCGCUGCAUUAGCUAGUUGGUAAGGUAACGGCUUACCAAGGCAACGAUGCAUAGCCGACCUGAGAGGGUGAUCGGCCACACUGGAACUGAGACACGGUCCAGACUCCUACGGGAGGCAGCAGUAGGGAAUCUUCCGCAAUGGGCGAAAGCCUGACGGAGCAACGCCGCGUGAGUGAUGAAGGUCUUCGGAUCGUAAAACUCUGUUAUUAGGGAAGAACAUAUGUGUAAGUAACUGUGCACAUCUUGACGGUACCUAAUCAGAAAGCCACGGCUAACUACGUG
rnacentral:rRNA from 1 species